GUAGAAGUUUUUGUCGAGUACAAUGAAGGCUGCUCUGUUGCUUGUUGCUGCACUGGUAGCAGUGGUGUAGGUCCACGGACAACCAGAAGGCACGACCACCGCCAGCAUCGGGAAUGAGGAACUAAGCUCCGGCAAUAUCAGGGCUGAGGGUAGAUUUCUGGGGAGGUCGUCCUACACGGGAGAUGACGAUGACACCAUUUGUGUCGAAGCAGACAACAAGUUCUACUUGUAUGCCAAUUCCUUGAAACUGUAUUCUUGCUACCACCAACUACCGAAAGUUUACGUGGUGAAACCAAAGAGCCAGUGCAAACCUUACCUGUCAGAUUGUCCCAGGAACUAGGAGUAUUGCAAGUCCGUUGGCUCAGCAUGAAUAGUCUGCAAGGUAAUGAAGUUUAAAUGGCUGGCUUGCUGACUGAAGACAUCUGCUGUUACCAGAGGAGCCACGAAACUGCAAGAGCGUCAGAAAUGGACUCUUUUACUUAAACAUUAUCGGUAGAAUCUACACAUCCUAUUCUGUGUCAGUUUCUGAUUAUUUUACGACAUGUCGUAUAUUUCAUUACUGUAAAGAUUAGUAUUAAAAACACUGCAUUUGUAUUUAUUUUAUAUUGCUGUUGUUUCUGUAAUAGUUGUAUGCUGACUCAAAAAACGUGUAGUUUCUAGACGUCAACUGUUAUAUUUAAAUAGCAGAAGAUAUUUCUUUACCUACAGGUUCACGUAAAUACUGACAAACAACGGCUUAUUAUUAAUAAAA